UAGCGGAGGAAAAGAAACCAACCGGGAUUGCCUUAGUAACGGCGAGUGAAGCGGCAAAAGCUCAAAUUUGAAAUCUGGUACCUUCGGUGCCCGAGUUGUAAUUUGGAGAGGGCAACUUUGGGGCCGUUCCUUGUCUAUGUUCCUUGGAACAGGACGUCAUAGAGGGUGAGAAUCCCGUGUGGCGAGGAGUGCGGUUCUUUGUAAAGUGCCUUCGAAGAGUCGAGUUGUUUGGGAAUGCAGCUCUAAGUGGGUGGUAAAUUCCAUCUAAAGCUAAAUAUUGGCGAGAGACCGAUAGCGAACAAGUACAGUGAUGGAAAGAUGAAAAGAACUUUGAAAAGAGAGUGAAAAAGUACGUGAAAUUGUUGAAAGGGAAGGGCAUUUGAUCAGACAUGGUGUUUUGUGCCCUCUGCUCCUUGUGGGUAGGGGAAUCUCGCAUUUCACUGGGCCAGCAUCAGUUUUGGUGGCAGGAUAAAUCCAUAGGAAUGUAGCUUGCCUCGGUAAGUAUUAUAGCCUGUGGGAAUACUGCCAGCUGGGACUGAGGACUGCGACGUAAGUCAAGGAUGC
rnacentral:rRNA from 1 species